GUAAGGAACAAGUGGCGCGCUCCAGUGAUUAUCUCGAUGGCCAGUUGAGUUUUCGCGAGCGUCUGAUGAUGCGGCAUCACUUGAUGUUUUGCCCCAAUUGUCGGCGAUUCAUUCGGCAGAUGCGGUUGAUGCAGGCGACCUUGCGGGUGAUGCCGCAGAAGCCGGUCGAGGAUGUGGAGGCGCUGGCCGAGCGGCUGGCGGCGCAGCGGCGUAAAGAUCGUUCCUGAAGGAAAGCACAGGCC
rnacentral:sRNA from 1 species